rnacentral:lncRNA from 1 species
AAAUUAUCUUAUGCAAAUUAUCAACUGCAAGUCUGCAACUAUACAUAUCUUAUGCAAAUUAGCAACUGCAACUAUACAUAUCAAGGCUUAUUGGAGAAACAUAUCUUAUGCAAAUUAUCAACUGCAACUUUACAUACCUCAUUAAUUAAGUUGAGUCGUGGUCCUCGUGGAAACAUUGGCAUCAUUAGUAGCAAGGCUCAGCUUGGUAAUUGCUAAAAAAUGAAAAAAAAUAAUAGAAUUCGUUAUUUUUAUAAAUUGUAUUAUUGUACAAACUAUAAAAAUCUCCCCAUUGCAGAUUCAAACAUUCAACAUACUUACAUACAUAAGAACAACCUAUAAUUAUAUAUUUAUAUAUGUUGAAAGCUCACCUAUGUAAUCAACCAAAUGAAUCAAACAAAAAUUAAAGUUCAUUCCUAAUAAAACUCCUCUCACCGAAACACAAGCUUUAGCAAACAAACAUCUAAAUAAACCAAUAAAUAUAAUACUUGUGUUGACAUAUAUAUUGAAUAGGAACACUAGGUAGGGAAUUGUUACUUAUAAAACUCUCUUACCUACCUAAAUUAAUUUUUAGAUGAUAAAUUAAUUUAAUUUUUUUUUAGUAAAACUGGAAAGGGAAUUGUUACUUAUUUUCAUAAUGAAAUUAAUAUUUCCAUAAAGAAGGCCUUCCUCACAUACAUACAUACAUGUGAACAAAUAUGGUAUAUGGAGCUAACUGUAAUCCUUCAUUCAUUUACAGUGUCAACACAAGCUUUAUACAGCAGUCAGUGAUGAAAUUAAAGUUCAUUCCUAAUAAAACUCCUCUCACCGAAACACAAGCUUUAGCAAACAAACAUCUAAAUAAACCAAUAAAUAUACACAUAAGGUAUAUAUUUAUACAGCAGUCAGUGAUGAAACAUUGAAACCUACCUACCUAGUGACUAGUGUUCCUAUUCAAUUUACAAUACUAUAUAUAUAUAUAUAUAUAUAUAUAUAUAUAAAUUCAUUACAGGACAGCUGAGCUCACCAGCAGCAGCUGCAGCACUCAUCAAAACUCAGAAGAAAAACAGUAAGAUAUUCCCAAAACUCAAAACUCAAAAGUAUAAUUUCUAAUUUCUUUUUCCUAAUUUCUUUUCAAAACCUCAAAAAGAUAGAAAUUACACAUGCACAGACACAAUUACACAAAAAUAAAUACAUACACAAAAAUGUACUCAAUACUCAUCAUUCAUGCACUAAACUGAGUUAAGGUAAAUAACAAAAUUACCUGAAUCAAAUGGAAAGCUGCCGCCGCCGGCCGGCGCCGAGAUCUGAGACUGAGAGUUCGUCGGUUCGAGAUCUGAGACUCUGACUCUGAGAAGACGACUAGACUUUAGACUUGAGAUAAGAGAGAUCACUAGAUCAGAUCUAAUCUGAGAGAGAUCUGAGACUAGCGACGCCGACUCACGUAAGAUCUGAGACUGAGAGUGAGAGUGGAGUCCUCUACUCCUCUUCGAUAAGAUCUGAUACUGAGUCACUGAGACUCUGAGAGAGAGAGAGAUCAGAGACGAGAGUAGCGUUAGCCGUUAAUAGUUAAGGACAUAAGGUUUGAGACUUGAGUUGUGAGUUGUGAUUGUGAGACG